rnacentral:rRNA from 1 species
AUUGAACGCUGGCGGCAUGCCUUACACAUGCAAGUCGAACGGCAGCGGGGGAGAAGCUUGCUUUUCCUGCCGGCGAGUGGCGAACGGGUGAGUAAUACAUCGGAACGUGCCCUGUGGUGGGGGAUAACUAGUCGAAAGAUUAGCUAAUACCGCAUACGACCUGAGGGUGAAAGUGGGGGACCGCAAGGCCUCAUGCUAUAGGAGCGGCCGAUGUCUGAUUAGCUAGUUGGUGGGGUAAAGGCCUACCAAGGCGACGAUCAGUAGCUGGUCUGAGAGGACGAUCAGCCACACUGGGACUGAGACACGGCCCAGACUCCUAUGGGAGGCAGCAGUGGGGAAUUUUGGACAAUGGGCGAAAGCCUGAUCCAGCAAUGCCGCGUGUGUGAAGAAGGCCUUCGGGUUGUAAAGCACUUUUGUCCGGAAAGAAAUGGCUCUGGUUAAUACCUGGGGUCGAUGACGGUACCGGAAGAAUAAGGACCGGCUAACUACGUGCCAGCAGCCGCAGUAA